rnacentral:lncRNA from 1 species
UGGUGAGGAGAAUCGAUCUCAGAUCUCCCAUGUGAGAAACCACUCACCCAAAUAACUCAAUCAACCCCGGCGGCGGGCGUGACUUCACAGUAAGUCUUUGUGAAGGCUUUCUUUUUGUCAUUUUUCUCCCUUGUUUAGAACAAGUUGUUCUGACAGUUGCACGAGAAACUAUUAAGUUCUAUAAAUAGGGGAGAAACAUUGUUUUCCUUUUUACAGCAAAAAAUUGAAACUCCAAAUAGCUCAUCAAAAUGUUUUCCAAAACUAACCUUUUUCUUUGCCUUUCUUUGGCUAUUUUGCUAAUUGUAAUAUCCUCACAAGCUGAUGCAAGGGAGACGUCUAAGGCAACUGCUCCAAUUACCCAAGGUUUAUUUACUUCUUCAAUCUAUUACUACUCCCGUAGUUAUUUUCAUUUUUAACAUUUUGAGUCUGCGAACGGAUGUUAUAAAUGUUUAAAUAUUCAUGUAACAUUUGGCUUAGAAUUUUUUGAUAUUAAAUAUGUCAUAAUAUCUUAUAAAGAAAUCUCAUUAAUGAAAAAAUUGGAAUUUCGGAAUUAAAUAAUUAUUAAACGUUGGUAGCAUUCUUUGCUGGAGUGAUUUAAAAGGAAAGUAAAACACAUGAUUGAAACGAAGGGAGUAAAUGUUUAUAUAAGUAUUAUUUAACAUUUUGCUGAAAGUUUAAUGUCGUUUUGAAACUUUCUGAGACAUUCUACAUCUAUAAUAUUUAGUAAUCUAAGGAUAUCCCAACACCGCAAAAGUUUCUUCUUUUUAUCUUUAUUGAAUUUGGUGAUUACUUUUUAUAAUAGUUUAAAUUCUAUUG